rnacentral:rRNA from 1 species
CCUACGGGAGGCAGCAGUGGGGAAUAUUGGACAAUGGGCGAAAGCCUGAUCCAGCAAUGCCGCGCGAGUGAUGAAGGCCUUAGGGUUGUAAAGCUCUUUUACCAGGGAUGAUAAUGACAGUACCUGGAGAAUAAGCUCCGGCUAACUCCGUGCCAGCAGCCGCGGUAAUACGGAGGGAGCUAGCGUUGUUCGGAAUUACUGGGCGUAAAGCGUACGUAGGCGGUUAUUCAAGUCAGAGGUGAAAGCCUGGAGCUCAACUCCAGAACUGCCUUUGAAACUAGAUAGCUAGAAUCUUGGAGAGGUGAGUGGAAUUCCGAGUGUAGAGGUGAAAUUCGUAGAUAUUCGGAAGAACACCAGUGGCGAAGGCGACUCACUGGACAAGUAUUGACGCUGAGGUACGAAAGCGUGGGGAGCAAACAGGAUUAGAUACCCUGGUAGUCCACGCCGUAAACGAUGAUAACUAGCUGUUCGGGCUCUACGAGCUUGAGUGGCGCAGCUAACGCAUUAAGUUAUCCGCCUGGGGAGUACGGUCGCAAGNUUAAAACUCAAAGGAAUUGACGG